UGUGGUAACAGCCAGGACGUAGCCUUGAC
rnacentral:piRNA from 1 species